GGGUGUGAUCAUACCAACACUAAUGCACCAGAUCGAAUCAAAAAUCCGCAGUUAAAUGUGCUUGGGCGAGAGUAGUACUAGGAUUGGUGACCUCCUGGGAAGUUCUCGUGUUGCACCCC
rnacentral:rRNA from 1 species